ACUGCACACAGUUGGAGCUUGGAGCUGAGGCCUCUUUCUGGCCAAGGAACUCUCAAGUGUAGGACGUGUGCUAUAGUAGGCUGGCAAGACUUCACUGACACCCGGAGGGUCUUUGUGGCCCAAUGAAUGGAGUUUGGUAAUCAUCCUUGCCACAGUC
ensembl:snoRNA SNORA62 Small nucleolar RNA SNORA62/SNORA6 family